CACGUAGGGCGCAAGCGUUGUCCGGAAUUAUUGGGCGUAAAGAGCUCGUAGGCGGACUGUCACGUCUGCUGUGAAAAGCUGGGGCUUAACCCUGGCCUUGCAGUGGAUACGGGCAGACUAGAGGUAGGUAGGGGAGAAUGGAAUUCCCGGUGUAGCGGUGAAAUGCGCAGAUAUCGGGAGGAACACCGGUGGCGAAGGCGGCAUCCUGGACCAACACUGACGCUGAGGAGCGAAAGCCAGGGGAGCAAACGGG
rnacentral:rRNA from 1 species